rnacentral:tRNA from 1 species
GGCGCUAGCCCAACUGGCAGAGGCGCCCUGUUGCCAACAGGGUUGUUGGGGGUUCGAAUCCCCCGCGCCCUG